rnacentral:lncRNA from 1 species
AGUAAAGCUCCACUGUGUACAUAUACCAUGCUUUUGUGAUAGUAGGAGCAAAUGUGACUCCAUUUUGUUUUAUGACUUCAUCCUGUAAAACAACCAUGCCAAGUAGAAGAGUCAUGACUGGAGCAAGAUGUUCUUUUCCUUUUGCUAUAGAAACCUUUAAGAACACAGAACUACCUAAUGGGGCAUUGUUUCUGUAACUGGGGUGACUGGGCUAACUGUGAUUGGUUAGGCUUCCCUCCGCUUGACUGCACUGUCUCGCUUCUGUAACCUGGCUUGCUUGCAUUGGCUAGACCCCCUGAACACCCCUUUUGCAGUUUUCAGGCUUAUAAGGAGUGCCCUUGGUGUUGUUCGGUGCUGAUCAGGGGAACAGCUUUAUGUUCUGGUCAG